CCUACGGGAGGCAGCAGUGAGGAAUAUUGGUCAAUGGCCGGAAGGCUGAACCAGCCAAGCCGCGUGAAGGACGAAGGUGCCAAGCAUUGUAAACUUCUUUUGUCAAGGGACAAAAUCAGGCUCGAGAGCCUGACCGAGGGUACUUGAAGAAAAAGCAUCGGAUAACUCCGUGCAAGCAGCCGCGGUAAUAAGGAGGCUGCGAGCGUUAUCCGGAUUUAUUGGGUUUAAAGGGUGCGUAGGCGGACUGUUAAGUCAGCGGUAAAAGCCCGGGGCUCAACCCCGGCGAGCCGUCGACACUGGCUGUCUUGAGAUGUCGAGAGGUAUGCGGAAUGCGCAGUGUAGCGGUGAAAUGCUUAGAUAUUGCGCAGAACUCCGAUUGCGAAGGCAGCAUACCGGCGGCGAUCUGACGCUGAGGCACGAAAGCGUGGGUAUCGAACAGGAUUAGAUUCCCUUGUAGUC
rnacentral:rRNA from 1 species